rnacentral:rRNA from 1 species
AUUGAACGCUGGCGGCAUGCCUUACACAUGCAAGUCGAACGGUAACAGGUCUUCGGAUGCUGACGAGUGGCGAACGGGUGAGUAAUACAUCGGAACGUGCCCGAUCGUGGGGGAUAACGAAGCGAAAGCUUUGCUAAUACCGCAUCCGAUCUACGGAUGAAAGCAGGGGACCGCCAGGCCUUGCGCGAACGGAGCGGCCGAUGGCAGAUUAGGUAGUUGGUGGGAUAAAAGCUUACCAAGCCGACGAUCUGUAGCUGGUCUGAGAGGACGACCAGCCACACUGGGACUGAGACACGGCCCAGACUCCUACGGGAGGCAGCAGUGGGGAAUUUUGGACAAUGGGCGAAAGCCUGAUCCAGCCAUGCCGCGUGCAGGAUGAAGGCCUUCGGGUUGUAAACUGCUUUUGUACGGAACGAAAAGACUCUGGUUAAUACCUGGGGUCCAUGACGGUACCGUAAGAAUAAGCACCGGCUAACUACGUGCCAGCCGCCGCUGUAAGAC